GCAGCGCCCGGCUCGGCAGGGACGAGCCCCGCCCAGCCCCGGCCGCUCGCCGCCCGCAUUGGCUGCAGCGGCCGGCUGUUGUGAUUCCCCCUGGCGCUCCCUCGCCUCGCCUGGGCGCGCUGCAGACAGGUACCGCCCUCUUGCUCUCACUCCCCGGCGGCACAUGGGGGAGAUGCUGCCCAGCUGCAUCCGGCUGGCAUCUGGGGCUUGCUCUUCGGUCUUGGCGCUCCCUGCAGCCGCCGGCUCUCCCUCGCUCCGCCCGAGCCAUGUCCACCAGAGGUGAGUGUGCGUCUCUCCGCCUGGAUGGAGGAGCAGCAUCUUCCCCUGUGGUCGCUUGGAGAUAGAAGGCUGGGCGGGCGGACAGGCAGGCAGGGCCAGCCCUCUGCCUGUGGUGGUGGUGGUGUUGUGUGCCGGCGGUGGCUACGUUAAUAUCCUUUCCCCCUUGCCAACCUACACCUGUCUCCGCAAGAAACUUCGCCGCGCGUUGCCUUUCAUUCUGCUUUUGUUUGAUGUGGAAGUGGGGGCCGUGGGGGGGGGGGAGGGAGAAGAGCUUGAGAGAUAUUUGGGAAAUCGGUGGCGUUUGUACGCCCCGGUCCACAGCACUCUCGCUUUUACUAUGGGGGCAAGAAGGGAUUGGAUGGGCUUGUGCUGCUUAAUCACCUUUCUUGGGAUAAAGGUGGGGUGAGGAGAUUUAGUUCCCACCCCACCCUUCUUGGUACCAUUUUGCAGCUCUACCGAUGGAAGAAUUCCAGGGGUUGAUGCACCAAGAUAUUUAAAGCUGCAGUACAUCCUUUUUUCGUGGGUGGGAAGCAACGACGUGUCAGAUCGUUCGCAGCUUGCGUUUUCUGGAGGCAUAUUAAAAUAUUUCUCGGAAGGGUUUGCAAGCUAGAAAGGGAAGCCAAUGCCAAUAUCCCCCCCACCUCUUUGCAGUGUGAGAGGGAGAUAUUUUUGCUGUGUUUUCAGAGUAGGUUACAGCCCCUAAGGUGCUGAUGCUUACUAAUGAAGUGUUAUAGACCGUUCAACAACAGGAUUAUUAAUUUGUGGUAGGAUGUGUUCUGAAUAACAGUACUAUUUUUUUCUGAGGUGUGGGAACAGCUGAUUUUUAUUUGCAUCUGUGUGCAUUCCCCCCAAUCCCUCCCCCCAUAUUGAUCAUGUGUACUUCUUAAUCAUUAAUCCGGUUGUCGUAUGCAAACCUUCCUGGGACUAGAUCCCAUUGAACUCAGCAGGAGUUUAUUAUUAAGUAAACACACAUUGAAUUGUGUUUAAGAGGCCUAAAUAUGAAAUUUCUUCUUGGGUAGAUGUGUGAUAUUUAUUUGAUAGGGGGAAUGCUACAGUGGUUGAAAGAAGCUUUCUUCUUCAUAUAUUUAAGAAACCAAUACAUGUCUAUUCACAAGGCAUUACAUAUGCUUAACACCAAGGCCCAUUAAAGACUGUGGGUCAAUUUCAUACCAUAUGCUAGGUAUAUGGUGAGCUAGGUGUAGUUUCUUCUCAGUGGAACACUUCUUGGAGAAAACACAUUCUCUGCAGGGUUAAGGCCAGAAUAUGCAAUGGCUAUUAAUUUUCACGGCAUUAGUAUGCCAUCCUCAUAUAUUUAAUUUGUCUGCAGAGGCAACGCCCAGAAUAAGUUCAUGGGUGUGACUGUUUUGCUAUUGGAAGCAGGGUGGGGGAAGAGAGGGAUAGGAGAUGAAUUUCCAAUCCUGAGCUGUUUUUUUUUGAACAGCAUUUCCCCUUUCAGGGUGCUGUGAUGUCACAGUACUGACUCAGCUGAAUUGUCAGAUCUAGGAAGUAUAACUCAAACCUGGCUUUAGGUUCUCGGCUUAUUCUGAUUCGUAGGCUUCUGGCUGUAGCUUUUGUUCUCUUCCAAAAGCUUUAUAAUGAAAACAACUCAAAUGUUUCAUUUUUGUUCAGGAUUUGUGCUUUUAAUCCUUGAUUGAAAUAUUGCCCCUCAUGCCAUAUUCUGUCUUAUAUCUAUGGCUAGCAGCCUGGUGAUUUACAAGGUCCUAUUAACCAGUGAUGGGUCUCAUCAUACUAUCAUGAAGUCCCUUUGUCAGAAGCCAGCAUGUUACUGUAAGAGAGGGAAUAUUGAGAAGAUCCUCAGCUAGUGGUGUAAGAGAGUGCCUCGGCUCUCUGCCAGUGUUUGAAUAUUGUUACACAAGGAAGAAGGACCUGGUGGGUGGUGAUGGUGGCACUACUCCAUGAGUUACGUUAUGUACAACAUAACUAUACCACAGUGGCCGUAUGGAGAGGGUUUUGUUCAGUCCCCGUCUCAUCAACAUUCUUAUGCAUGUAAAAUAAGAGUGGAACAAGUUAGAGGAUCCCAAUACUUGUACUUUAUACCCUUAUGUGGUAAUCAUGAGAACUGAUAUUUUUGUGUAUAAUUUCUGAUACAUUUUAUGCCAGCAUAAGAACCUUAAGAUGCUGAGUUCAGUUGUAUUUUUGGGUGGUAUAUUGUGUAUGAGUGUGCUUGCACUGUUUUACGUGGCUUGUAUUAGCUGCAGUUCAGCAUGGCGGAUUCUAGGCCAAAGCUGGAAUGUGUAAGAAUCAGUUUAUGCUAAACAAUCCAUCUACACUAGUUAAUAAACUGUGUGCUAUACUAUGGAGUGGGGAAUAUCCAGCACAUGGGCCAAAUUAAGCCUUCCAAGCCCGUCAGUUUUGCCUUCAUGGCCAUUUUGCAAUGUUCUGCUGCAAAGGAAGAAACCAGGAGCAUGCUCUAAAUGAAUCUAGAAUUAAGUUAAUCAAUAUUUCUCAUUUUUCUGGUCUAGUUGGCACUGUUCCUCCUAUUGUGUAUAGUGUUUAUAAUUCUCUCUGCAGGAGAAUUCUGUACUGCAGAAAAACUACUGAAAUUGUUUUGGGUAAAUUAUAACAACAUUUGUGCUAGGACUCCUAUUGUUAUAACAGCAACUUCUGUUCUCCAGGAUUCUACACUAGGAUUUUUUACACUAGGAUUCUACACUAGGAUUAAUUGCAAAUAAGAUCAAAAUAAACUGGCAAGGGCCACUUCUGAUGCUUGGGUCACUUCAGUAGGAUGCAUGCCACAUUGAGUGAUGGGGCAUUUUCUGGGGCUCAUGCACCCUGGAAGUGCCCUAUUAGGUUGACACGUCACAUACCUUCAUUGGUGCUCCCUGACCCCAGGCUCUUGUGUGGGCUUAUUCACUGGUGGAGCCCUUAAGCUUCCAGCCUGCUACAGUGCUGCCUCCACUGGUAACCCUGUGAGAUUGGUGGCUGCAGCAGUACCAGUGGACUGUUAAUACUGGGGGCAUGAUUGACAUUGGAAAUCCCACCAAGGGCAGUCUGCCCAAUGACCCCCAUAAUCUGGAACCAGAUCUGCACAUUUAAAACUUUAUAUAUUGGAAGUCCAUAACAAAAACUAUUUAAACUUUGGGGGGGGGGUGUCUCUCUCUGGUUUUGCUUUCAGUUUUUCCCCUGGUUUGCCCAUGUUCUUUGGACUAUUGGUUCUUUAACAUCCCUGACAGAGGAAGGAUAAAAGUAGCAGAUAGCCAGAAUUGAGCUCAGUGUAUCUUCCAGCAUGCAUACUGUGUGUUCCAAUGUGAUCUUACUGUGCUUGCACUCAGCGACUGCAUAUACUGUGGUUCACAUGGAUAGUAGAAUUUCACGAUGCUUUAGCCAAUAGUCAUUGUUCCAAGGAAGCACCUCAUUUAUACAGAUAGUUUCUUCUUGUUGCUACUGCCUGCUAAAUUUAUGAUUAUCUAACUGCUGCAAAAAUCUGCUUAGAUGGCACACAUUAACUGAGUGGCUUUUUAAUUCCCCAUAAAUUAACCUAACAACUUCUGUUUUAUAACAGGGUGUGCUAUUCAUUAGAGAUGAAAACAACCCCUUGAAGUGCUAGACUUAAGAAAGAACACGUUCACCCAUUUAUCUUGAGUUGCAGCUUGGAAAUCUAUUUUUCUUUAUCUUGUUUACAAGUUCAAUGGAAAUUUUUUGGGGGGAAUAUGAGGAAUGGUUUAGCAUGAACAGCUAUCAAAAUGGAUAUGAGCUGGUAGUUUCCUUUCAUUGUUCAUUAAGACAAUGAAUCUUAAGCUAUUUUGGAUGCUCAUAUUGCAGCAGAAUUUGAGAGAAGGGAAAUGAGCAUUGGUCUAUGGUUAGCAAGGCAGACCAGUGGCUCAGUUCCAUGCAUUAUUUGGGAGUAAUCACCAUGAAGUUCAAUAAGGCUUCCUUCCAUACAACUGUGUGUUGCGUUGGAGUCCAAAUCACUCAAGGACAUUUAGGCUCGCUUCCAGCCAAGUUCUACUCAGAGUAGAGGCACUGAAAUUAAUAGACUUAAGUAAGACAUGCUCAUUAAUUUCAAAGGAUCUACUCUGAGUAGGACUACCAUGACUACAAUCCUUAGUGAGAAAAUAUGCUCCGAUGUUGUAUAGUGUCUCUGAAAUGAAUAUUUCUGGUACAUGUUUUUAAAACACAUGCAACAAAAUAUAGUUUCUUAAAAUAGGGAUGCUGGAAAUCAAGCAUGCCAGGUGUCAGAGAGGACCAAAUACAUUUUGCUGCCUGAAAUUACAUUUUCACAGAGCUGGGAAUGAGGCCCAGGUGAGCAAUAAGGUUCCUUCUAUGCUCUUCUCACUUUUUUCUUCUUGUGCAGUUGUUUGGAAGGGGUUGGCCACUGAUGCCCACAAAGCUUUAAAGCUCUCUCCAUCCCACGGCACCUUGACCACAAGGUGCUGAGAGUAGUCAUUUUUGCUUCCCUGGAAAAGUAUAUAGGGCCAGAGGAGGAAGUUGGAAGAGUGACUUUUUUCUCACUUUCUCAUUCAUCUCUGUUCUUUUCAAGGCCCAGAUUAAUUCUGCUGGAUCCAGCUUUUACCAAAUCCCUGGGAAAAAUAAGUGUGUAUACAUGGAAUUUCUCUUUUUCUGUUUCUUUGGUGGCGAAGGAAGUGUGCUCAUUUGCCUGAAAAGGUUGACAAUACCUGGCAUAAACGUUUCAUUAGUGGUAGCCUCCAUCAAUCAGCACAAGGAUGUCACUAUUUUUCUCUUCAGCAUAGCACUGUGUUUUGCUGGAAGAGAGGAACUGAGGCACGAUCCUAUACUAUUUAGAAAUAAGUAUAAUUUGAGCAUAGCUGAAGUAUAAUAUUGUGUGGGUUUUUUGUUGUUUGGAUAAGAUGGUAUAUAAUAUGUUUAGUUUUUAUUUAUUUAUUGCUCUUUGCCAGCUUGUAGUGUCUUGUGUUUUAAUUGGCCAUCUUUUUAAUGCGGUUUAUUACAUGUUAUCCACUUGGGUUCUUUGAAAUGGAAAGGGAAAGAAAACUAAAUACCUUCUUAAAUCAAAUGCCAGAAAAUAAACAUGUUUCAAAUGUGGCUUUCUCUCCCAUUCUUAUUGGGGAUAAUAAAAGAACUGGGUAUUAUAUACUUCAUGCCCCUUGAGCUGCUUUACUUUUCUGUUUAAAAGAUCCUGUCUUACAAGAAGCCCUUAAAAGGGUAGGAGACCACUACUCCUUACUGGAAGACAGAAAGAACUCUAGAGUGAUAUGGACAUGCUUGGGCAGCAGACUUUUUAACCAAUCGUGUAUACUAGCUGUAAGCUAAAACAUGACACAAAUCAGUUCACUGAGAAAUGGAGUUAUUUAUAAACCUCUGAAAUAACAAAUUUCAUUAACAUGUGUAGAGAGAGAUAGAGAGCAUCCAGAUUUUUCUGAUUUUUUUUUUUGCAUUUGUUACUUGUCAGUGAUUAAUCUCUGUAUUUUUUUAUACUUUUUAUCAAUGAUAUAUUUGUAGUAUUUACAUUUCUUGAUAUUUUAAUAAUAAACUAUAUAAUUUUUGAUAGGAGAAUGUGUUAUAAGUAUAGAAAUAUGACACACAAUGUUGGUUGAGAAUUAUAGAAAGAAGUAAACUAACUUUCCCUAUUGCUAGACAUGUUGUAACUGAAGGGGUUCUUGAAAGCAUAUUUAGAAACCUUCCGUAAAUAUUCAUAGCCAUUCACAUUUCUAAUGAAGCAAUCGCACAGUGGCUUAAUAAUAAUCAGAUAUUGGAAAAAUCUUUCCAUAUUUGGAUUGUUCAUAGAGGCAAUGUUGUGAAUCUUGUGCAGCAUACUGAGUUGGAAAAUACCUUUUGAAUAGCAUUUGUUUCUGCCAUUGUGAUGCUGCAUUUUAGCUCUCUGAUAUUGACAUGUUGAAUAUAUAAGUGAUUUGGUGGUGCUGGGCAAGGCAUUACAAUUGUCAGAAAAGUAUAGUAGUAUUUCUCCAUGCAAAUAAAUUAUCAUGAAAAUUGACCAUUAUAGUCUUGUUCUGCUUUCCAUACUAUUACUAUGACACUCUUUCUUCUUUUGGACAAAGCCAUUCUGAUCAAACCAGUGAUGUAUCUUCCUAAUGAGUUUGAGGCCACCCGCAGGACUACCCAGCUGUGUAAAUUGUGUGGCAAUUGGUCUUUGAGGGUAGCCUGCUGAAGAACCUGCAUCUAAAUCAGAGAUAAUCCCUCCUAUAUUAAAAUUUUUACUUAGAGAUGAUCAUUUGUGUAUUUGGCAGUAAAAUGCUUUCUUUGCUCAAUUGCACAUUUUUAUCAAGACAGCUGCAGUGCAUAUGGUUUUGUUAGCUAUUUAUAUGAUGUAUUCUUAUAGUGUGAAAAUAUUCCUGCCACAUUUGUUCUAAAAGUGGCCAGUUUUUUUUUAGAGUUUGUAUUACAAAAAGAAGAAGAAGAGCAAAAGUAGGUAAUGUAAAGCCUUUAUUUGGUCCGACUCUAACGCUUGUUGGUGUGGAAUAACAUUUUAAGUUUUGUAAAUAGGGAUGCAAAAAUACUUGGCACCUUGUUAUCCAGGUUUCUUAAGAUUCUUGUUAUCAUCCCAGCCCUGUCCUUGGGAAGAGUGAAGUGCUUGGGUAGCAGAUGCAGGGAUAUAUGUGGGUAGCAGUGUUGGCAGCCCCUUGGCCAUUUCAUCAUUGGUUAUGAAAUAGAUUCAGCUGCCAGCCCAUCUUUUCUCCAUGGAACAAUAAUAAGUUAAAAGACCAUACAAUAAUUAAUGCAACAAUUAUUUGAACAUUAUGGCAAUAGAGUCAUUGGAUAUGCAAUCAGUCACUCUCAUAUACGGUGGUACCUCUUCUUACGAACACGAUCCGUUUAGUCCGUAAGUAGAGCACUGCUACUGUGCGUGCGUGACGCAUGAUAGAGCGCUUCUGUGCAUGUGUGAAGCGCACAGAUCACUUCUGUGUGUGUGUGUGUGUGUGCAUGUGCGCGCGGUGAACCUGGAAGUAAACACUUUCGGGUUUGCCACUUUCGUAACCUGAAAAGCUGCAACGUGAAGCAAACGUAACACGAGCUAUGACUAUAGUUUCAGGGAUGGAAUGCAUGCAACAGCUCUGCUAAUAUAAAUAUAUUUCACUUGCUGUUAGAGUGAUGUGAGUUUUCCUUUCCAUCUGUAGUGUUUCCCCAUGUUGGAUUUUUGAUAACAUGUCAGCAUUUCACCACGAAUGUGAAAUACUGUUGAUUUGUUGUGUAAAAGCAGCAUGUUCAUGACAAAGUUGAAAGAGCAUUCUCUGGAGUACCCCUGCCUACUGAAGCAGGAAAUUUAUUUUCUCUGUCUCUCCUUGACCCUUUCUAUCUGAUAGACAAAACAGAUGAAAACAAACCAUGGGUUAGAACUUUGUUUUUUAAUUAUCUUUUCUCCAUAGUCAUCCGCAAAAAGACUGUGUCCUGGAGGGCUUUAUGCACUGCAUCAGUCUUGCUAUUUAGGAGCUCUGGAAGUAUUUUUAGUAAAUAUUAGUAGUGGAGCCAAAGGGGUAUUUUGAAAUGGACUAAUUCACCAAGCAGUCAGCUGAAACUAAUAACCCAGCAUCAGGGAUAGCGUAGCAUUAACAAUCUAAGGGUGUGGGGGCAUCGUAACUCACAAUUGUUAAUGCAUUGCAGAAAGGUUAUAAUUUGCUCUAACUAAAAUUUGACUUUAUAUUGUAGGUAUGACAAAUAUUUUGCCAUUGCAAAUAAUUAAAAUUUUAAUAAAAGUAUAAGCGUAGUUUCUAAUUAUUUGUAAGGAAUUCUUUAUUUAACAAGCAACUAGUAAAGAAUGACUAAAAUGAGAUCAAAAUAUAGUCCACAUACACACACAUCCCAGAUAGACACAAAUCUCCAUGUGCCUAUU
rnacentral:lncRNA from 1 species